ensembl:lncRNA
GUUAGGCAUAAGGCUAGCAGUGUGGUUAAGGUUAGGGUGAGGCAUAAGGCUAGCAGUGUGGUUAAGGUUAGGGUGAGGCAUAAGGCUAGCAGUGUGGUUAAGGUUAGGGUGAGGCAUAAGGCUAGCAGUGUGGUUAAGGUUAGGGUGAGGCAUAAGGCUAGCAGUGUGGUUAAGGUUAGGGUUAGGCAUAACGUUAGCAGUGUGGUUAAGGUUAGGGUUAGGCAUAAGGCUAGCAGUGUGGUUAAGGUUAGGGUGAGGCAUAAGGCCAGCAGUGUGGUUAAGGUUAGGCAUAAGGCUAGCAGUGUGGUUAAGGUUAGGGUGAGGCAUAAGGGUAGCAGUGUGGUUAAGGUUAGGGUGAGGCAUG